rnacentral:rRNA from 1 species
AUGGAGCUGAUCAAACCCGCAGCAACCCUAAGCAGCAAGAUCGGCGACCAGCACGCGUCCUGGGCGGCGACCGUCUCCGAGCGGCUCGCGCGGCCCACCCCGCACCUGUUGGCGCUCAAGGUCCUGCUCGGGCCCACAAGCAGUACCUGCUCGACCCAGCAGCGUCGCCGCGGCGCCAUCUUCUCCUUGUUGAUCGACCAAGAGGAGUCGCCGGCGCCGGUGAUGCCAGCCCGCUUGCCCGCCGCGUUCAGCCACGCGACGGGCGAUAUAGAGUUGUCUGGCGCCUUGCCCUACGGCGACUUCUCGUUCGUGGAGGACAACCGCGUCGUCCUCGUCAACCCCGUUACCGGCACGCUCCAGAGCAUCGAGAUGUAUGGCCCCCGGCGAAGGUUUGAGGUGGAACCCCAGCUGAGGGUCGCUGCUGGCGCCAACGCGUUGUUCGUUACCGAGUGUUUUGGGAGUGUCUCUCUGCUGUGGUGUGAGGAGGAGCGGUGGUUCGAGGAGAAGCUCCUCCAGCCCGAAGUGUUCAGAGGCUGCGACGCUAUCCGCCUUGCGGACUACGCCGGCGGCACCCUCUACGCCAUGGAUUACAACGGCUUCACCUACAUUAGGCUCCGUGCGCCGAGCAUUCUCAAGCAGUACUCCUCGAUCCCUGGGUACACCUACCUGCGCGACACCAACAACCACCUGCUCGUGUCAGAAGGGGAGGUCAUGUUCGUUGGUAUGGUGCUCGCACCACAAGAACCCGGAUGCCCCAAAUCCGUCGGUGGCUUCGAGGUGUACACGCUGGAUGUCAAGGUGACACGGUGGGUGAAAGUGGAGAGGCUCGCCGAUGACCGGGCGCUGUUCGUGAGCGAGCAAUCAUCGUUGGCGGUGCGCGCAUCCGAGACGCCGGGGUGCAGGGCCAACUGCAUCUACUUUGUGAGCGAGCUCGACAAGCAUUCCUACAGCAACAGCAUUUGGGGCGUGUAUUCCAUGGAGGAGCAGAAGGUGCUGUUUCAACGCCCCGUCGGUGGUUCGCCGGGGAAGUACAAAGCUGGGCGGUGGUUCUUCCCUGGGGUCGGUGCCUCACCGGCGCGCUCUGGAAACUGUGCAAAACAUGGAAAGAAGAGAAAAUUCCAAAUGCUCUAG